rnacentral:rRNA from 1 species
GACGAACGCUGGCGGCGUGCUUAACACAUGCAAGUCGAACGGAAAGGCCCUUCGGGGUACUCGAGUGGCGAACGGGUGAGUAACACGUGGGUGAUCUGCCCUGCACUUUGGGAUAAGCCUGGGAAACUGGGUCUAAUACCGAAUAUGACCAUGCGCCUCCUGGUGUGUGGUGGAAAGCUUUUGCGGUGUGGGAUGGGCCCGCGGCCUAUCAGCUUGUUGGUGGGGUAAUGGCCUACCAAGGCGACGACGGGUAGCCGGCCUGAGAGGGUGACCGGCCACACUGGGACUGAGAUACGGCCCAGACUCCUACGGGAGGCAGCAGUGGGGAAUAUUGCACAAUGGGCGCAAGCCUGAUGCAGCGACGCCGCGUGAGGGAUGACGGCCUUCGGGUUGUAAACCUCUUUCAGCACAGACGAAGCGCAAGUGACGG